AUUUUAUGUGAAUGUGAUGUAUGGUUUUAGAGUUGUGAAAGUUGGGUAGAAAGUAUGUUUUAACUGUAUGUGUAAUUGAGUUUCCUCUCAGGAUAAGGGGAGGGAAUAUGUGGGAUGUAACUGAUAUGUGAUUGGUUGUUUUAUACCUCCCUGUGGGCGGUCAUGUAUUUGCAAAGACUGUAAUAAAAACCAGGCUGGGUGUGCCAGCAGGAGAGUUCCUGUUUUAACCCUCAAAGUGAAGUGUCGUCUCAUUAUUGGGGGAAGGAUUUAUUGUAUGCUGUUCCAGUUUGACUGCUAGGAGAGUAAACCUAUCCGUAUGGUUCCUAUUCGGCUGUAUACAGCAUUCAUAUGCUAGAGAGGAUUCCUAUGCUUCUCAGAUUCGGUGGUUGUGGUGUCUGCUGCAGUGCUUGAAGUCCUCAGGAAGCGCUAGGAGCAUCCUUUAACGGAGGUACCCAGUCGG